rnacentral:lncRNA from 1 species
UGAUUUCUCGAUUACGAUGUUUAUUGGUUGACAAGUUAGAUUAGGUUUUUCAAACACCGGUUCCAUUUGGCUUCCGGAUUUGGGAUUGUAUUAAGAGGUGGAUGAAUUUGGUGUUCCUAAUUUAAGACGGUUAGGUUAGCAUUCAUGAUUGAGGUUGGACGGUGAACGAUCUUGGCGGUGCAAAGGCGAUUCUACCGUCCGUUUCGAAGACGCGCCCGGUGGAGGAAGCAAGAAGAUUGGAUGC